rnacentral:lncRNA from 1 species
AGAAGCGGACAAGCAAACAGCGGAUGUGCAGUUCCUCUCUUCGCCGAACCCGGUUUUCCCUUUCGGAGCAGCGCGACCGAUUUCCGGUUUCCCCGCCGCAACCACCGUUACCCCCCCCCCGCCCCAAUCCCCGGCGACUCCAGCGACGUCACCGGUUCAGCUCCUGACCUUUCGGCGAACCGCAGAACCACAGGCGACCCGUUCGACGUCAUCACUCCCCGCCCAGAUGUCGCUGUGACAUCACCCCGCACGUGCCUGCGCUGGCACCGCGUCGUCCUGGCGAGCGCCUCCUCGCGGCGGAAGGAGAUCCUGGGGUUCGCUGUGCGAGACAUGUCGGCGGGGUUUCACGUGAGUGACACUUGGUCCCCACGGGAUUGACAGCGACUAGCGGAGUGGCAUGUGGACGUAGCUUCAGGUGACCUCACUGACCCCGCCCCUGACUCCACCCCUUGUGAUGACCCCACCACUGACCCACAGGCCUUGGAGGGGCUGAUCCUGGAGAAGUCAAAGGACCAGGAGGACGCCAUGGGGGGUGCUGUACAGGAGGAGCUGAUCCACGACUACUUGGACAACAGCACACCAGCGAAGGAUGGGACAAGGCCUGGGGCCUCCGCCAUCCAUGCGUGGGGAGUGAUGCUGGUAGAGGGCAAAUUGGUGACGUCAUCAAUGCAGCGGGCUUCCCACUCAACCACUUUAGCCGCAAGCUUGCAAGGGCAGCUGCCAGAGACAGGAAGUGACAUCGCUGUGGAGAGGGCAGCAGGAAGUGAGGUGGAAGAAAAGUGUUUUGAAACUGACCCUACAGAUAAAAGAGUUCAUCAUGAAUGCGAUACCCUCCUAUACAGUUGUUAGAAGCAACCCUCCAUCUCCAACUCCAAAAAUAAAUGAAAACCAAACCACACAGUUGGAAAUCAGCAAGAAGAGAACCGGAUGGUGGAUGGCAGCAGAUGGACAGGAGAGCACUCAGCAGCACUUGCUCUUCCAGCCCGUCACGCCUCCUCCACUGCUGAUAUCUACGUUUUCACUGUUGGGUUCUUUUACAGGGGUCUGCAACAACACAAGGAAGCAAGCAACCCGUGAGAAAGCACUGGCAUGGAUGAAAACAGACUCACUGGAAAGAUGCAAAGCAAUGUCAGGUUACACAACAAAAGGCAAUUACAGUCAUAUGAGGGAGUGUUCGAAAAGUUGUAAUUUGAAAACUGUUUUUGGUUGUCCUUUAGUUGGCCUCCUCUGUAAAUUGUGACAGACAUCUCCUGACAACACUUAAAGCAUCUCAAACCAUCCUUGCCCUGAUCUAUGAGUUCUCAGAACAGAAGGACUACUGAGCCAGGCGUGGUAGCACAUGCCUGUGAUCCUACAACUCAGAAGACAGAAGAGGAAUUCUAGGUCAGCCUGGGCUAGACAGACAGCAAGACUCUUGUUUUGUUUUGAAAGGCUGGUGAGGUAGUUCAGCGGGUUAACUGCCUGGUCUAAGCCCAGUGACGUGAGUUUGUGUGCUGUGGAGCUUCUGCAAACCCUGCCCCUGCCAAAUAAAAACUCGUAAUUUAUAACUCACAAAAA